AAAACCAGCUGGCUCUGAAUCAGCCCACAGUCAUAUCUGCUCUUGAGAAACCACUGUAAUUGGAGUUAGUGCCUUCAUGCAUUAAAUGGACUUGCCAGGGGCAAGGCUGGCAGUUGAGGAUGUGAAAAUGAAUGAGCUGAGUGUGUGGAGGGACCAGAGGUGAGGAUCACUGAUCUGGCAUUGCCCUGCCAUAGCAGUGGUGUUUCUGGGUGUCUGGAUUACAGCCUCAAGACAAUCACCACCACCACUGAGACAUCCCUGGGAUGGAGAAAAGCGAAGAUCAGAAAUAGCUCCCAGGAAUGGUUUUCAUUAUCUUCUGCCAUUGUUGCCUUCUCUGAAACACACUGCUCUCGGUCAUUCGGUAGGCUGACUGCAAAAAUGGCUUCAACUCCCCCUCCUCCUUCCAUUUGCACCUGUCCAUGCCGCUCUGCAAAGUGCCCUGCAGCUCCUCCCAGCAAGGCUGGAGUCUGUGCUUGUGACUCACUCGGACCAACACAAUGCAGCAAAGGUGAUGUGUGCCACGCCUGAGCCUGGGCUUGAAAGGUCUUGCGUCUUCUGCUUGGUCUCUUGAAACCCUGCUGCCACCAGGUGAACAAGCCCAAGCUAACCUACUGGGUGAUCAGAGACACAUCCUAGUCACCUCUCUUGCAUCUGUCACCCCAGCCAACAGCCAGAUGAUUCCCAGACACAGCUGCCAUGCGACCUGCAGCUGACCACACAUGUGUGAGGGGCCCAGCUGAGAUGAGAGAACAGCCCAGCUGAGCCCAGACGCAUGCACUGGCUUGAAGCAUCAUGAGAUAGAUAAAUGGCUGUUGUCUGAAGCCGGUAAGUUUUGGGGUGGUUUGUUACAUAGCUGUAACUAAUUGAUUAACUGGUUACUGUCACAGAUGUACCUGGGCAAAAAAAAACCCCAAAAAAUAAAAUAAAACUAAAAACACUUUUGGCUUGAUUGAAACUGUCCCUCAGAGAAUUUCAUUUUAGAAUCUGUGGCUCUGGCCAAAAGGGUGGCUCUACCAUGAUGGGCAUCUGGGCUUUCCAAUUCACAGUGGGCCUUUCAGAGGUCAAGCACUGUGGCAGGUGAAAAGCCGUGAAUGAUGCUUGGUUAACAUGCACUGCAUCUACUGCUUUACAAAUUGUUAUUUAAAGUAACAAAAUACAUGUACGCAGUCUCACUAUUCCCUCAGGUGACCAAUCCUCUCACUUUGAUGUGUAUUCUAGACUUUUUCCUACACACUCACACUCAUGUCUCAGCUCUGUGUCACUUUUUUUUUUUUAGACGGAGUUUCACUCUUCUUGCCUAGGCUGGGGUGCAAUGGCCAGUGUCGGCUCAUUGCAACCUCUGCCUCCUGGGUUCAAGAAAUUCUCCUGCCUCAGCCUCCCAAGUAGCUGGGAUUGCAGGCGCCUGCCACCACUCCCAGCUAAUUUUUUUGUAUUUUUAGUAGAGAUGGGGUUUCACCAUGUUGGCCAGGCUGGCCUCGAACUCCUGACCUCAAGUGAUCCACCCACCUCAGCCUCCCAAAGUGUUGGGAUUACAGGCAUAAGCCAUCACGCCCGGCCGUCAUUUUGUUUUAUGGCCUUCUUUUUCUUUCCAUAAACAGCACUUUAUUUUUUUCCCUUAACAACAGGUCUUGGAGGCCUUUCCAUAGCCAGAAUUAUAGACCUAACUCCUUCUUUUUAAUCAUGGCAAAGGAUGACAGUACUUUAGUUUAUCUGACUCUUCCUGUGCUCAUGGGCAUGUGAGUUGUUCCCAACUUUUCAUGAUAAUGAGGUUUAUUUCUCUGUACAUAUGCGGCAGAUCCCUUUAGUGAGCAAGCAGAGAUAUGGCAUCCCUGGUCAAGUGAGCAUUUAAAGGAAAACGGUGGCAGAUGGAACCUUCCCAAAAUCCACAGACCAAUAACUGACCCUUUCUGCAAAACCGGCUGAGCUUCCCCAGCCCUGGGUCUUUCACCUCCCACCGCUCUCAGGCUGCCUCCUUACCAUCUCUUCCCCGAGCCUGAAAUGCACCUAGCAUGGGGCUUGUCAGGUAGAGUUUUCCUGCUUUAAUCUAAAGUGAAUGUGCACUGAAGUGGCUAUAUUUUUCUAAGAGGGGAAAGAAAUCACCCUCCAUUUAGUCAUUUUGUUGUGCCCUUG
rnacentral:lncRNA from 10 species